CUUGGAUUUGGACAUCUAAUUCUGUUUCAAAACCAUGAAAUUUUGUUUCUUCUUGAGCUAACUUCUCAAAAUUUUCCAUUUUCUUUUCCCAUCUUUCGAUAAUUUUGAGUGUACAUGAAUAAUCUUUUAUAGUUCCAUGGUCUACUAUUGGUACUUUAUAGAAACUAAAGAAAUUAAAGGAAGAAAUAGAAGGGAAUGAGUUGCAAGGAAGAUAAAUAUGAACCCUAAAUUCAGAGUUACAGUUGAAGAAAAGAAGAGAAAUAGAAAA
rnacentral:misc_RNA from 1 species